GGGACGUGCUUUGAAGCCAGUACUCUUUCUGCCACCGGAGGAACCUGACACCCACAGAGAGUACACCUGGCCUCAGGUGAAAGGUCUUAUGACUAAAUCCGGUCCUACCAGAACUCAGACUGUUCCUACCUCCUCCCUGGCCCCCAGGCAGCUGUGGGCCUGGAUUCUGAAGGACUGAUACAGGCUUAAUCACCAGCAAAGAAGAGGGUUGCUAUGUCCCCAGUCCCCUCUCCUUGUCUCCUGAGACCCUCCAGGAAGCAUCCCUGAGGACCCUUGGAUUCUCUCUUCCAUGCUGCAUAGUCCUGGGCUCUUAACAUUAGUAGGAGAGCUGGAGCACUCCUCUUGUGACUCAGAGGGAACUUGUCACUGCGUCAGCAAACUAUGGGCAUACAUCCACACAGACUUCAAGGGAACAAAGAAAUGGAGGACAUUAUCAUGGGUGGAGACACUGUCCAGGUGUCUCUGAAGGCUUUCAGGGACAACAGUGCAUGGACGAUUCAUUUUCUGUUAAAAGGUCUGCUGAGCACGAGGGAGGCUCUUACAGAAAAGCCUCCUGAUCAGAAGAGUGUCCCUAUAUCCUCAACCAGCAUGCUUGUUAGCUCUGUCAACUUGAGUCACCAGCCUAGAGUCACCUGAGAAAAGCCUCAGCGAGGGAUUGUUUAUAUUGUGUUGACUUGUGGGCACAUCUAGAAAGAGGUAUCUUAACUGAGUUCAUUAAUGUGAUGUAGGAAGACCCAGUCCACUAUAGGAGGCCUCAUUCCCUAGACAGACGGUCCUAAACCCUAGAAAGGUGGGGAAAUUGAGCUGAGCAUAAGCAAACAAGCAAGCAACACACCUGUGUUCAUUUCUCUCUGCUCUUGACUGUGGCUGUUAUGAAACGCUGCCUCAGCCUUCUGCAGCUGUGACUUCUCACAGUGAUACAGAAGUGGGAGCUAUGACCUGGAACAAUGAGUUAAAGUAAACUCUUUUUCCUCUAAGUUGUUUGUUGCUGGGAUAUUUUAUCAUGGCAGCAGACUGUAUCAAUCAGGCUGCAACCCAUAGAGACUUCGUAAAUGUUGGCUUGAAACGGCUGCCCAUGGCCUCCUACAUUUCAUUGCAAAACUCUAUCUUCUCUAGGAACCCCCCAGCUUUGGACCCAAUCCUCUUCCACGAUUUCCAGAUGGACCUCUUAGCAGACUAGUGGCAAGAAGCAGAGAGCAGAGCAAUACAGAGCUGAGCAGAAUUCCACAGCUGGCUUUGUAGUUAUAAAUCAGGGUGCUGAAUGAUCAAUGACCAGAAACGAAGGAGGGAGGGGGUAGGUGGAAAAUUGAUACUCUAUACAGAGCAAGAAACCCUUGUUGGGCUUUGUAG